AGUGAACGCUGGCGGUAGGCCUAACACAUGCAAGUCAAACGGCAGCACAGUAAGAGCUUGCUCUUACGGGUGGCGAGUGGCGGACGGGUGAGGAAUACAUCGGAAUCUACUUUUUCGUGGGGGAUAACGUAGGGAAACUUACGCUAAUACCGCAUACGACCUACGGGUGAAAGCAGGGGAUCUUCGGACCUUGCGCGAUUGAAUGAGCCGAUGUCGGAUUAGCUAGUUGGCGGGGUAAAGGCCCACCAAGGCGACGAUCCGUAGCUGGUCUGAGAGGAUGAUCAGCCACACUGGAACUGAGACACGGUCCAGACUCCUACGGGAGGCAGCAGUGGGGAAUAUUGGACAAUGGGCGCAAGCCUGAUCCAGCCAUACCGCGUGGGUGAAGAAGGCCUUCGGGUUGUAAAGCCCUUUUGUUGGGAAAGAAAAGCAGCAGGUUAAGACCCCGCUGUUCUGACGGUACCCAAAGAAUAAGCACCGGCUAACUUCGU
rnacentral:rRNA from 1 species